UACGUAGGGCGCAAGCGUUGUCCGGAAUUAUUGGGCGUAAAGAGCUCGUAGGCGGCCUGUCGCGUCCGCUGUGAAAUCCCGGGGCUUAACCCCGGGCGUGCAGUGGAUACGGGCUGGCUAGAGGCAGGCAGGGGAGAACGGAAUUCCCGGUGUAGCGGUGAAAUGCGCAGAUAUCGGGAGGAACACCGGUGGCGAAGGCGGUUCUCUGGGCCUUACCUGACGCUGAGGAGCGAAAGCGUGGGGAGCGAACAGG
rnacentral:rRNA from 1 species